rnacentral:rRNA from 1 species
UACGUAGGGUGCGAGCGUUGUCCGGAAUUAUUGGGCGUAAAGAGCUCGUAGGCGGUUUGUCGCGUCUGCUGUGAAAACUCGGGGCUUAACCCCGGGCCUGCAGUGGGUACGGGCAGACUAGAGUGCGGUAGGGGAGACUGGAAUUCCUGGUGUAGCGGUGAAAUGCGCAGAUAUCAGGAGGAACACCGGUGGCGAAGGCGGGUCUCUGGGCCGUGACUGACGCUGAGGAGCGAAAGCGUGGGUAGCAAACAGG